UUUGUGGGUUUAAUUGUUGUCAUAUGUAUUGUAUUAAAAAUUGUUUUUUAAUUUGCAUUCUUUUUUCUUUUGGUUUCUUAUGGCAUAACAAACCGAAAUUGAUUGUAUUUUAAAGAUGUGGAAAUUUUUUGCUGUUGAAGGAAGUAAAAGAAUUAAAUUUCUUUUGAAAAUUGUGGAAUUUACUCUGGAGGAUGCUGCUGCAGGUGCAGGUGGGCCAUAAUAUGUAUAUGUAUUAACAGAGGGUGUCGAUGGGGUCUUUACUCCAGUGGAUGGAUAAUUCCGAUAACCAAAAACAUUGAGCUUAAAUCCACAUGUUAAAUAUAUCUAGGCUAGCUAAAUUUUUUUUGAUUUAGUGUCACAUUUUACAUAUGGAACUCAUUGUGUUACCUUUAUGGACCUUUAGCAGUUUACCAAAUUAUUGGUAAUAGAAUCUAUUUGCUUUUGUCUGUUG